AAUCCAGAACUACCGUCGGCCACUAGCCAACAAUCCAACCCCUCUAGGGUACAUCGACCACAACGGUCAUCGAACGACAGAAGUCAAGGAACCGACCGAAUGUGUCACAAAUACGAGAUACAAGAACAGACCAACUAGGUCACUGAUACGGAGUACGAAAACCAACCAACCAGGUCACUGAUACGAAGUACAAGAAUCGACCAACCAAGUCACUGAUAUGAAGUACAAGAAUCGACNAUAAACAACAAUAUGGGUAAGUGUAAUACUAAAUACAGUAGCAACAAUAAUGAACGAAAGAGAUAGAACUAUAAAUGAAAGCACAACUACCGCUACUGUAAUGAACAACUGAAAGUAUAUAUGCAGCUAAACUAUAGUAACAAGACAAGCGUGAAGAAAGAACUGAAGGUAUACAAACAACAACCGCUACUAUAGCUAUAUGCGUCAAUCGGUCAAGAAGUCCAAAUAUAUCCAAUCUGAAAUCUGUUGCUCUAUUGGUCCACACCGCAAACCUCAAGCCUAUGCCACUACUACUCUCCCAUGCAUAUAACCCCUCUAGGGCUCACGGGUUGACACCUGCAACCACUUUUCCGGAAAAGAACACUCUUUGCGGUGGAUCAGACCGCGAGCGUUCGUGAAAUGCGACGAGUAUCGGGCGGUCAAUGCUGAUAUGCUCAAAGGCCAAACGUCGGCAACCAGCCGACGAUCCUGUCCACAGGGCUCAUCGACCAUAUAGGUCAUCAACUGUAAGGAAGCACAAGAACUGACCACUCAGGUCAACUAGGAUGGAACAACUCAACAUCCCCUCAAACAUAUGCAAGUACUGCUCAAUGAAUCACAAGGACUGACCACUCAGGUCAACUAGGAUAUAUGCAUAACGAAUCGACGAAUAGGUCAUCAAAGUAUAUCAAUAGAAUCCAGAACUACCGUCGGCCACUAGCCAACAAUCCAACCCCUCUAGGGUACAUCGACCACAACGGUCAUCGAACGACAGAAGUCAAGGAACCGACCAAAUGUGUCACAAAUACGAGAUACGAGAACCAACCAACCAAGUCACUGAUACGAAGUACAAGAAUCGACCAACCAAGUCACUGAUAUGAAGUACAAGAAUCGACCAACCAAGUCACUGAUAUGAAGUACAAGAAUCGACCAACGAGGUCAACAGAUACGCACAAAGAUAGAACCACUCUACUCCUACUCAGGAUACUAAGCAUGCAAACAACGAGUAGAGUAUAAUAGAAUAACAUGGGUGCAAGGCUCAANAGGUCACUGAUACGGAGUACGAAAACCAACCAACCAGGUCACUGAUACGAAGUACAAGAAUCGACCAACCAAGUCACUGAUAUGAAGUACAAGAAUCGACCAACCAGGUCAACAGAUACGUACAUAGAUAGAACCACUCUACUCCUACUCAGGAUACUAAGCAUGCACACAACGAGUAGAGUAUAAUGGAAUAACAUGGGUGCAAGGCUCAAUGUAUACUAUGCAAUAAUAACAACAGAAGAGUAAGGGUAAGAAACCAUCACCGAGUGUGCAUCACUGUACCGACGUCGGAUCGAAGUACCCACCUGUACAAAUGUCGCGCUUGUCUCCUGACUGCAAAAGAACGUCAAUCGGACCUAAGGAGGGUCCACUGGGUUAGUGUCCAACCCACAAACAAUAAACGCUGAAUCUACAACCCCACAAACUAAACCCACGGAUAUCGGUUUCCCAAAACCGAUUACCGUAACUCGCCGGAAGUCCCGAAAUCGCACCGGGACUCCGUCGGGACCCACGAACUAUCCCGUAACACACCGACUCGUGCUAUGAGUCACCCGCUGCCACUAAAUAUAAAUAAUCGUGCAUCAUGGCAGCAAACACAACUCACGUCGAAACAAUUAUCGUCGGAUAAUCAUUUCGAUCCGGGUUCCUGGAAGUGUCUAAUUCGACACCGGAACUCACCGUCGCUCACCCGUCAUUUCUAAACUCUCGAAAUGACGCGAGUGAUC
rnacentral:lncRNA from 1 species